GAUGAACGCUGGCGGCGGGCCUAAUACAUGCAAGUCGAGCGAAGCGGGGACGGGUGAGUAACACGUGGAUAACCGCCUAUAAGAGUGGGAAAACUUCGGGAAAGCGGGGUUAAACCGGAAGCUUAUAGAUGGGGCCGCGCUGCAUUAGCUAGUUGGUAAGUUAACGGCUUACCAAGGCAACGAGGCAUAGCCGGCCUGAGAGGGUGAUCUGCCACACUGGAACUGAGACACGGUCCAGACUCCUACGGGAGGCAGCAGUAGGGAAUCUUCCGCAAUGGGCGAAAGCCUGACGGAGCAAUGCCGCGUGAGUGAUGAAGGUCGUCGGGUCGUAAAACUCUGUUAUUAGGGAAGCGGUACCCAAUCAGAAAGCCCCGGCUAACUACGUGCCAGCAGCCGCGGUAAUUC
rnacentral:rRNA from 1 species